UUGAUGUAGGAAAACCCAAGGGAAAGCUGUAACCUGAGAAAACAGGCGAUGGAGCCGGUUGUGUGCCGCCAUGCCGGAGGCCAAAUCAACACUGGCAGGGUUGAAAUUCCCUUUUUUUAUUUCGUAAAAUACUCCCUAACCACAAUUUAAACAAAUUUCACCAAGAAUCGAUCGAAAUUGAUUUGGCCGAGAGGGAGAACCACCGGAGAAGGAGGAGUAGGCGGCAGCGCCGUGGCGCAGGAAC
rnacentral:lncRNA from 1 species